rnacentral:misc_RNA from 1 species
AAAGUCGUAACAAGGUCUCCGUUGGUGAACCAGCGGAGGGAUCAUUACAGGAUUUAUACAUCCCAAACCAUCGUGAACAUACCUCUUGUUGCUUCGGCGGUGCCGCCCCCGGGCGCCCGCCGAAGGACCCGAACCUCUGUAUUUACAUGUGGAAUAUCUGAGUGGCUUAAUGCAAAAACGAAUCAAAACUUUCAACAACGGAUCUCUUGGUUCUG